AAAGGAAUUGACGGGGGCCCGCACAAGCGGUGGAUUAUGUGGUUUAAUUCGAAGCAACGCGCAAAACCUUACCUGGGCUUGAAAUCCUGCUAAUCUGUUAGAGAUAAUGGAGUGCCGCAAGGAAAGCAGAGACAGGCGCUGCAUGGCUGUCGUCAGCUCGUGUCGUGAAAUGUUGGGUUAAGUCUCGCAACGAGCGCAACCCCUACCUUUAGUUGCCAGCAUUAAGUUGGGCACUCUAGAGGGACUGCCUGGGUUAACCAGGAGGAAGGUAGGGAUGACGUCAAGUCCUCAUGGCCCUUAUGUCCAGGGCUACACACGUAAUACAAUGGCCAGUACAAAGGGAUGCAAGACUGUGAAGUUAAGCAAAACUCAAAAAACUGGUCUCAGUCCGGAUUGAAGUCUGCAAUUCGACUUCAUGAAGUUGGAAUCGCUAGUAAUCGCGGAUCAGCACGCCGCGGUGAAUACGUUCUCGGGCCUUGUACACACCGCCCGU
rnacentral:rRNA from 1 species